rnacentral:rRNA from 1 species
UACGUAGGGGGCAAGCGUUGUCCGGAAUCAUUGGGCGUAAAGAGCGUGUAGGCGGCUUGGUAAGUCCGCUGUGAAAGUCCAGGGCUCAACCCUGGAAUGCCGGUGGAAACUGUCAAGCUUGAGUCCGGAAGAGGCGAGUGGAAUUCCUGGUGUAGCGGUGAAAUGCGUAGAUAUUGGGAGGAACACCAGUGGCGAAGGCGGCUCACUGGACCGGUUCUGACGCUGAAGCGCGAAAGCGUGGGGAGCAAACGGG